rnacentral:rRNA from 1 species
UACAGAGGGUGCAAGCGUUAAUCGGAAUUACUGGGCGUAAAGCGCGUGUAGGCGGUCGCGCAAGUCGGGGUGUGAAAGCCCGGGGCUCAACCCCGGAAGUGCAUUCGAUACUGCGUGGCUAGAGUACCGGAGAGGGUGGUGGAACUCUCGGUGUAGAGGUGAAAUUCGUAGAUAUCGAGAAGAACACCGGUGGCGAAGGCGGCCACCUGGACGGAUACUGACGCUGAGACGCGAAAGCGUGGGGAGCAAACAGG